UACAGAGGUCCCAAGCGUUGUUCGGAUUUACUGGGCGUAAAGGGCGCGUAGGCGGCCACCGCAAGUCAAUUGUGAAAUCUCCGGGCUUAACUCGGAAAGGUCAACUGAUACUGCGGGGCUAGAGUGCGGAAGGGGCAACUGGAAUUCUCGGUGUAGCGGUGAAAUGCGUAGAUAUCGAGAGGAACACCUGCGGCGAAGGCGGGUUGCUGGGCCGACACUGACGCUGAGGAGCGAAAGCCAGGGGAGCAAACGGG
rnacentral:rRNA from 1 species